AUUCAUAUCUUUUUAAUAACGUUUUCUUUUCGGUCUCUCUUCCUUUCGAAAACUGUUCUUAUUCUUAUAUUAUUCUAACAAAACAAUAUUUAUCAAUCAGCAUGAGAAAGUGGUUUCAAAAGAUGUAAAAGUUUUUGAAAAAUGUUUUUGAAGAUUCUAACGAAACAAUCUUCCAUCCGUUUCCAAAAAUGUAAAAGUUUCUCAUUUGUCCAUAACCCGCCACAUGAAGAUCGUCCAUUCUUACUCUUUUUAGCUACAAAGUUUCCUCGAAAUAGUUGAUUAAGGUUUGCUUAUUCGAUUGCCUUUUUUUUUUUGAGUUUUACAUAUUACAACCCCCAAGAUUGUUGAAGUUUGGCACUUUUUUUUUGAAGACAUGGUUGAAAGUUAUUGUAGCAUUUAUAUUUUCAGUUUUUUUUGUUGUUGUAAUGCUACCAUUUAAUGGUUGUAACAUUUAAUUGAAGAGGAAGUAAUUAAGAGGGGUAGAAGGGGGUUACAAACACCACAACCGCUAGAUGUCUUUGGCUAGGAUGAGACUGGGGUGGUCGGAUCACAUGUUUAUCUCUUAAAAUGUUAUCCGUCCGUCCAAGGCUCAAAAACCCAUCCUGUUUUGUAUUAUGGAUUACGCAUAAUGCUCACGAAUCGUAUAUGUAUACAAACUAUUUGAGAUAAUAUUGUCAGAACUAAUCCUAUGGGUAUUCCCAUUAGAAAAAUAGAGACUCAGGUGUCAAUAUCUCUAUUUAAUCAUGUUAGCUUUUAUUGGUGAACUUGUUAAGGAAAUAUUACUAAGUAAUUUCUUGUACACAAUAUUUUUAUUUUUUUAUAAUGGUUGGAAGUUUUAAAAAACUUAUGUUGUGUAAUUUGGGCAUUUGAAUGUUAAAUCAAUAGCCCUGGGAAGGGACCAUAUUUCCAA